rnacentral:lncRNA from 1 species
AUCAUCAUAUAACUCCCCCUUGGAAGCUUCAUCUUCAAAAGAUGCAUUUUGAAUGACGUAGCAUGAAGUGCUUUUGAACUGAAACUGCCACAUUGUUACUUGGCCGGAUGUACUGAACAUCAACUUCUUGCUUCUUCUCAGAUUUUUGAGUGCAUGAGAAGAAUCUUGGAAGAACAUGUCUUGUCAUAUCGAUCUUGACAUAGCUUCCUUUGAAAUGGGCGACACAUGCAACAAUGUCUUGUUGUUGGCUCUUCACUGGUGCCUAUAUUGCUUGCUUAUUAUAUAUGUUGAGUGCAUCAGUCUGAGCUAUAUAGAUUCUCAACAUGAUUCAUGGAGCGUAAUAAUUUUGGUAUGGCUUGAACAAGCGAUGACCAAAAUUUGUUGUUGA